AAUUACCUUCUGAACUGGCUUUUAAAAGUGAGAAAAAGACUUGUAUAUUGCUCACAAAGGGCUAUGAGGAAUUAUGUUUUGUUUUCUGUAGGUAUAAUAUGAAUUUUCAUUUUUUUCCCUUCCAUAGGUAAUUCUAAAGAAGAGCAGAGGUUAAAAGUCAAGGAACGUGUUCUUGAAAAUUACAUGAUAUGCUGUUUUAGGUGGUAACAAGUCAUUAACAUAUUUUUAUGUAUGGAUUUAUUCUUGGGUUAUUAAAAUAUUGGCUAGAUGGGGAAUGUCUGUUUUUUUGCUGGCAUUGAAAUAUCUCAAACACAAAGGACUAUUUUACAUUUUUUAAAAAUCUAUUUUAAGAGAACCCUAGUUCUUUUUACUUGUUUUGUUCUUAUAAAUGUUUUAACUAUCAAACAUGAAAUCUGACUGUUUUAAGUGGCUUGAAGAGAUGCACUUCAUACAAUUAAGUUUAUAUAUUUAGAUUUAACCACAACUGUGCAACAAAUUUAAUUUCUACAGAAGGACAAUAUGGAGUCAGAUCUAGGUACAUUUUAAAUGUGUUUUUCCCCCCAGUGCUUUCACAAAGCAAUACAGUCUACUUUUUUGUUAUGUCAAUAGUAACAAUAUAAUUAUCUGAAAGAUUGUAAACAUCACUUGGGUUUUUUCAAAACACAUCUCCUUCUCCAAACCAAAAAUAGAAAUUCUGGAUCAAAUUGAGUUAUUUUCUUCAAAUUGUGUGGAUUUAGUAGAUGGGAUAUUUCCUCCUCUAAAAUCAUUUAGAAGUUUAUUGCAUAUCAUCCAAUAGUGGUUAUUAUUAUUUAACUUUUUGAGCUCAUUAUAGAUUCCAACUUGAAGCUACAAAGGUGUAGUACAAAGAGGACCCAUGUAUUCUACACCCAGUUUUCCCAAUGGUUAUGUCUUACAUACUGACAGUAUAUCAGAACCAGGAAUUUUUUUUACAAGUAGUGUGUUUAUAAUUCUACACCAUUUUAUCAUGUGUAGAUUCAUAUAACUACUACCAUAAUCAAUAUAUAGAACUAUGUCAUUACCACAAAAUCUUCCUGAUGCUGUUCUUUUAUAGUUACACCUGGCCCACCAUGUCUUCCACCCUGGCAAACAUCCCUAACUCCUGGCAAGUACUAACUGUUCUUCAUCUCUGCAAUUUUGUAAUUUUGUGUCAUAUAAAUGAAAUUACAUAAGAGAUGAUCUUUGGAGAGGUUUUUUUUUUUUUUUUUUUAACUCAGUAUAGUGAUUCAUUCAUUGAAGUUGUCACAUUUUGGUGGUUCCUCUGUGUUCCCAAGCGAUUUUUCAUGGUGUGAGUAUAUCACAGUUUUAACUGUUUACUUAUUGAUCGGUAUUCCGUUUUUUUUCCCCCCAGUUUUGGGCUAUUAAAAAUAAAAUUGUUAUGAACAAUUGUACAGUUUUUAUACAUGUAUCAAUUUUCAUGUCUCUGGGAUAAAUGCCUGGCAAUUUGAUUGCUGGGUCAAAUGGUAAAUAUAUGUUUAACUUUUAGAAAAGAAAUCACCAAACUAUUUAGAAUGGCUGUAUCAUUUUAUAUUUCUAUUAAUAGUAUAUAGAAGAUCACUGUCUUUAAGUUCUCAUAAACAUUUACUAUUGUUAAUUUUUUAAAUUUUAGUUAUUCUUACAAUUUUAAUUUGCAGUUUUGUAAUGGCUUAUACUCGUUUUAGUUGCGCUGCUGAAACAAAGUAGUAUAAAGUGAGCAGCUUAUAAACAACAAAUUUACUUCUCAGUUCUCAUUGUUGGAAGUCUGAGAUCAGUGUGUCACCAUGCCUAAAUUAACACUUGUGUUCUGGUUUUCUUAGAGUUUUGAAAUAUUUUGAAAAGUUCUCAACAUAAAGUUGCUUCUUCAUUAGUUUUUGUUUAGAUGAGAUGCCCCCCACUGGCCAAAGCUCCUGUUAAUGCAGGAAUAUGCCGAGGUCAAAUGUUUAAAUUAUGAGAGCUGUAAACUGAUCAGUCCAUCCUAGUUUCAGUGGACUGUUAACUGGGUGGAAGAAGUGUGUGUGUGGAUGCUUUGAAAGGGUUGUUCUUGCUGUGGCCCCUUCUUCCCCCAUUACCCCCCUCUCUCUCUCCCUGCUUCCUGAUCCUGCCAUGAGCUGGGUAGCUUUCUCCCACACAACCCUUCCCCCAUGAUGUGCUACCUCACCUUGGGCCCAGAUCAGUGUAAUCAGCUAUCUAUGGACUGAGAUCUCUGAAACUAUGAACCCCAAAUAAACUUUUCCUACUCUUUUAAGUUUUUCUUGUGGA
rnacentral:lncRNA from 1 species